GCCCCAGUAGCUUAAUGGAUAAGGCACUAGCCUCUUAAACCAGGGAUUGUGGGUUCAAGUCCCAUCCAGGGUA
rfam:Alligator sinensis unplaced genomic scaffold scaffold138_1, whole genome shotgun sequence